UCUCGAGGUCCAGAUUUGAGGAUCCCUGCUCUAUGGUGCUUUUGUUGCACUUUCAAGAACUUAUGUUCAAAUAAGUGUUUUUAUCAGAACUGUAAGGUGCAGAUGGCGGUGUUACAAAUCUGUGCUAAAUGGGUAAAUAAGAACCAGGAUGGGCUUUCCUGGCAAAGGCUUUCCUAUGGAUUAGAAUGGAGACUGGCUUUCCAAAA